UGAUUUUUUUUCUAUAAUUGUAGAUUGUGCCUUGUCCAUUGUUAGCACUUGCAAUUUACUUGGAAGUUGUUUCGGUGUUGCCCUACAUAAGGUCAACGACUGAUGCAAAACAUAAAGUUCAAUGAAAUAAUGGGGCAAGCUUCCGAAUCCAGGUUCGGUCUGGAGAAGGACCAUAGUGAGUACUUAACCAAAUACCAAAGGUUUCAUUGAUUCAAAUGAAACUUGAGGGACUAAAUUUAAGUAUUCAAACCUCUAUCAUGAUCAUGGAUAUUGGCUAAGUCUCAACUUAUUAGAAGGAAAGUAAUCUCCAGGACGUUUAUUUUCAGAAAAGGGAUAAAGUUGGGUUUGCAAGCUAAGUCUAUGAAGUUUUGUAUGCAGAAAAAGGACCAGUACGUGAAGAUUGUUGCACAUCCUGAUCACUUGAUC